CUUAUCUUAAUUUCAGCAAUAGUUGCUUCUGUGAAAAUGAUUGUGAGGAUGAACAUCAAGGCUUUAUGACCCUUGUCGUACAUAAUUUUCAAAAGUUGAGUUGCGUAACUGAGCUUACACUCGGAUCUUGGUUCAACUCUUUCUGAUCUUGGUUCGCACAAAUUUCACAAACAUAAUUGGAUUGAUUAGAGAAACUUGUAGCCUUUCUACCUUUUCACAAUCCUUUAAUCUAAAAACCAGAUUUUUUACAGCGUUGUUGCUUAAAAUGUUUAGUAUCUCCGUGUUCUGUGCCUGUAGUUUCUUCUAGUCUCUUGUUCGUGGUGUUUUGGUGAUGUCUAUAAUUUCGAAUAGUGUCUUGUUUCCUUUAUUAUCUAGCGGUGUGGUAUGUUCCUUUUUGUUGUUUGCUUUUAUGUCUUUUAUUUGUUAUACUGCUAUGUGUCCUGUGCCAGGGGUCUAUCGAAAACAGGCUCUCUAUUGCAUAUGUGGUAGUGGUAUGGACUGCGUACACUUCAUCCUCGCGGACCCCAUUUUGUGGGAAUACACCGGGUAUGUUGUUGUUGUUAUCUCUGCGUAGUACUUUUUUUUUUGUUGUUGUCAUGCUUUCUCCAAUAGUUUACUAGUUUUUAGUCAAUGGCUAGGGGAGUGCGUGGCGACGUUGGUGGUUUGGCAACCUUUUAACUCACAAUGUCCUGAUCUAGUGUAUGUCACAGACACCUCUCUAGUCUCCAACCAACUCACAAAAUCUCUUAAAACAGACUAUAAGGUUUCGUUUUUUUUUUUUUUAGGGAAAUGAUAUCCAUUAAUGAGAUAGAUCUAUUAUCGAUCAAAUCGAUAUAUAGAUAGAUCAAUUAUCGAUUUGACAAAUCGAUUAUCAAUCCGACAAAUCGAUUAUCAAUCUGACCUAUAUAUGAACGGAUUGAUUAUUAAUCCGAAAGAUCGAUUAUCGAUCCAAUUUAUAUAUGGACAAAUCAUUAUCAAUCCGACAGAUCGAUUAUCGAUCCAACCUAUAUAUGAACAAAUUGAUUAUCGAUUCGAUCUAUAUAUGAAAAAAUAGGAGUAGAUUAUUUUAUUAAUUGAAAAAUUGAAGAGGAUUAAUAGUAAAAUUUUGGACAUGUAAUAACAGAAACACUAGAAAAUCCCAAAAUUCAUUACCCCGAUUUCCAACAUAGAGACCCAAAAACCUUUGUGGAAAAUUUCUGAAAGCUCAAAUGCGGCUGCGACGGCGCCGCCGUAAGCACUCUCCUAAGGUGAUUCCUCCACCGUCCGUCGGCGCCGAAGUUCAGCGCCGCCGUAGAGUUCGGAAAACCCUAGACGAUGAUCGGAUCAGUCAGUUACCGGAUUCACUGCUCAUACAAAUUCUCUCUCUUUUGCCAACAGUUGAAGCAUCCCGAACUUCAAUUCUCUCUAAAAGGUGGAAGUAUCUUUGGACUUUUGCUUACAAUUUCGAUUUUGAAUUCCGCUCAGGUAGAGUAAAAGAUUUCGAAUCUUUUAUUGAUUAUGUAUUAGCUCAUUCCGUUGCUUCCAAAAUCGAAAAGCUUAGACUCUCUGGUGAAUUUCGUUACGGCGAGUCUAAUAUCAAUGGAUGGCUUAGUUUUGCGGUUGAAAGAAAUGUUGAACAUGUUGUAUUGCGGUCAUACGAUGAGCGGAUACUAUUCGGUGAGCCUUUUUGCACUUGUUCUUCUUUGAAAACUUUGGAUAUUACUUAUGCUGAAUUUCCUUAUCGAAAGACAACAUCAUGGACGAAUCUAAAAAGCAUAAAGAUGGAUGAAAUAUCGUUAGAUAAUGAGGCCAUUGCGAGUUUACUAGCAGGCUGUCCUGAAUUGGAAACAAUGGAACUUUCCGGACUGCAUUGUUUUAGUCGCUUGGAAAUUAAUUCGUUAAAGUUAAAGAGAGUGUAUUUGAAAGACCUUUGUUUGGAUAAAGAUCUAGCUGAAUCGGAAUUCUUCGUGGAAAUUUUUGCUCCUUAUCUUAAGCAUUUUCGGAUAUCAGGAAAUCUUGAAGAUUUCGAGUUAAGGCUUUUAGAUGUGUCGUCUUUGGUCGAAGCUAGUCUUACAUUCAGACAUAGGUGUGCUAAUUGGACCUGUUGUGAUUCUGGUGAUGAUGAGGAAGAGAGUCGUUGGAAUUAUCACCAAAUAUUUAUUAUUACGCUCGUUCAAGAGAAUCUUCAAAAGUUGAGUUGCGUAACUGAGCUGAACUCGGAGCUUGGUUUACUAAGGUUUGUAUUUAACUCUCUCUAAUUGAUUUUUGAGAUGAAGGGGGAGCCGUGGAGUAACUGGUAUAGUUGCUGUCAUGUGACCACGAGGUCACUGGUUCAAGCCUUGGAAAUAGCCUCUUGCAGAAAUGCAAGGUAAGGCUGCGUACAAUACACCCUUGUGGUGGGGCCCUUCCCUGGACACUGCGCAUAGCGAUAGCUUUAGUGCGCCGCACUGCCCCUUCAGAAACAAUCUCUCUAAUUCACAUCUGAGGCAGGGGCGGAUCUAGGGCCUCGGAGGGGGUUCCGGAACCCAGUAACUUUCGUACGGAUCUAGUAUUUAUAUAAAGAAAUCUGGUAAAUAUAUAAAAAUUAUAAGUUAGGAACCCAUAAACAAAUUGUAUUGUUGGUCUAGUGGAGCACAGGAACUAGUAAAAGUUUUACCACAACCUCUUGGUUGUGGGUUCAAAUCCCUUUAGCUACUAUUUAGUUUUAUUUUUGUCUAACAUGGAACCCACAAACUUUAUAUCCUGGAUCCGCCUAUGAUCUGAGGUAGUGGUAUGGACUGCGUACACUUACCCUCCCAUUUGUGGGAAUAUUGGGUAUGUUGUUGCUGUAUAUUUUAUAAGUCAUCAAUCUUAGCUUCUAAUAUUUUGCCAACUCUUACCCCUUAAUAUAUUCAACUUUAAUUUAUCGGAGCAUCACAUCAGGGUAUACCGAUUUUAGUUGAUGAACCAACAAAGUUUGCUUAGCUGCUAUAAUUUCAUGUUGCAGGCCCUGUGCAUGAUGCAGCUCAAAGGGGUGUCUAUUCCAGAACUUAAAUGCAAAUGUCUAACGUUAGAGUUGGAUGACUAUUUUAAUUUGUUUGGAGCAACUGGUAUUUUGCG
rnacentral:lncRNA from 1 species